rnacentral:lncRNA from 12 species
UAUAUAUACAGUAUAUAUACAGUGAAAUAUUAUUCAGCCUUAGAAAAGAGGGAGAUCUUUUUUUAAAAAUUUCAUUUAUUUAUUCAUGAGAGAGACAGAGAGAGAGACAGAGACAUUGGCAGAGGGAGAAGCAGGCUCCAUGCAAGGAGCCCGAUGGGGGACUUGAUCCCAGGACCCUGGGAUCAUGACCUGAGCCGAAGGCAGACGCUCAACCGCUGAACCACUCAGGUGCCCUCAAGAGGGAGAUCUUUUAAAAAAAGAAAAAAAAAACAAAAAAAAAAAAACAGGGAGGUCUUAUCAUUUACAAUAACAUGGAUGACCUGGAAAGACAUUAUGCUACGUGAAAUAAGCCAGACACCGAAAGAAAACUGUAUGAUCUCACUUAUACAUAGAAUCUAAAAGAGUCAAAUUCACAGAAGCAGAGAGUAGUAGGCCGGGGGUUGCCAGGGGCUGCCAGGGGCUGGGAGGGUAGGGGAAAUGGGCUGGCCAAAGGGUACCGAGUUGGCAGUUACGUAGAAUAAAUCACUCUGUAGAGAUCUGACGUUCCAUGUUCACUGCAUUGAAUCCUGGAUAUUUGUUAAGGGUAGAUUUCAGUGGUUCUCAUCUCACACACACGUAAGUCUGUGAGGAGCUGUGUUAAUGAGCUUGCCUCUAGCGAUCGUUCCACUAUGUACGUAUGUAUCAAGUCAGCAUAUUGUAUACCUUACUUAAGUACAUACAACUUUUAUUUAAAAAAGAAAAGAACGGAGCCCCAGCCAGGCUGAGUCCAGAUUAGGCAGGUCCAUUGCACAGGUGGAGAACCCGCCCUGGAGAGGCCUCCUUUGCUCAGCUGGCCUGCAGGGCCCACUAGUGGAUCCUCACGCGGUGCUGUUGGCAGUGCCUGGUGGCCUUGUGGCGGCUGCUCCCACCCCUAUUAGCUGUUGACAUACAAAUGCCCUGGGUGGAGAGACUAGGAGAAAGCACAGGAUGCAGAGGUCUAUUUGGUGUAAUCUUCUCCCUCGUUCUCAUCUUCACCAUCAAUGGAGAGAGCAGCAUACUUGCUUGCAGAACUGAACUUGGAAGCUUGAUUUUCGGCCACAACUGGCAGAAGUAAGUCAGACCAGGAUGCACGAAGGAGAGAGAGUGAGAAGUCUCUAGAAAAUGAAACACCGAAUAAGGAGGAAGACUAUCACUCUCCAACUUCUAAGCCACCCAAAUCUGAACAGCCUCUGAAGGUAAUGCCAGCCCCUCCACCAAAGG